rfam:Populus trichocarpa scaffold_17_contig_306, whole genome shotgun sequence.
GGGUGCCGAUUAUAACCCAGCACUAAUGCACUGGAUCCCAUCAGAACUCCGUAGUUAAACGUGCUUUGGCGAGAGUAGUACUAGGAUGGGUGACCUCCUGGGAAGUCCUCGUGUUGCACCCC